rnacentral:rRNA from 1 species
AUGAACGCUGGCGGCGUGCCUAAUACAUGCAAGUCGAGCGAACAGACGAGGAGCUUGCUCCUCUGACGUUAGCGGCGGACGGGUGAGUAACACGUGGAUAACCUACCUAUAAUACUGGGAUAACUUCGGGAAACCGUAGCUAAUACCGGAUAAUAUAUUGAACCGCAUGGUUCAAUAGUGAAAGACGGUUUUGCUGUCACUUAUAUAUGGAUCCGCGCCGCAUUAGCUAGUUGGUAAGGUAACGGCUUACCAAGGCAACGAUGCGUUGCCGACCUGAGAGGGUGAUCGGCCACAAUGGAACUGAGACAAGGUCAAGACUCCUAAGGGAGGCAGCAGUAGGGAAUCUUCCGCAAUGGGCGAAAGCCUGACGGAGCAAAGCUGCGAGAGUGAUGAAGGUAUUCGGAUCGUAAAACUCUGUUAUUAGGGAAGAACAAAUGUGUAAGUAACUAUGCAAGUAUUGACGGUACCUAAUCAGAAAGACACGGCUAACUACGUG